UACGUAGGGGGCAAGCGUUGUCCGGAAUCAUUGGGCGUAAAGCGCGCGUAGGCGGCCCGGUAAGUCCGUUGUGAAAGUCAAAGGCUCAACCUUUGAAUGCCGAUGGAUACUGCCGGGCUCGAGUCCGGAAGAGGCGAGUGGAAUUCCUGGUGUAGCGGUGGAAUGCGCAGAUAUCAGGAGGAACACCGAUAGCGAAGGCAGCUCGCUGGGACGGUACUGACGCUGAGGCGCGAAAGCGUGGGGAGCGAACAGG
rnacentral:rRNA from 1 species